UGGGCAUCUACCAUUUACAUUGUAACCAAGCGUAUGAGAGACCUACUGGUGUACUCUGUUAAACCUGACGGUGCUGACGAGCCAGUACGGGCGUUACACCGCGAUCACUUGCUUCCUUGUGGAUUUCUUGCUGAAGUGGAAGUGCCAGAGAAUAUAGUUGCUCCAGCUAGAAAACCGAGGACAAGGCAAGAAUGUGUUCAAUCCGAGAGACCUGAUUCAGAAGAUGAGGAAGAUUACUGGCAGAAUGUUUGCAUCACACAAACUCUUCCAAGAUGGGAGACAGUAGUGUCACGUGAAGUAUCCAGGAAACAAACUGUCCCAAAUCAGCCUGUUGGGAAGAAUGAGCUGGAAAGGAUUUCACUCCAGUCUUCGCCAGGGUUAAGUACAAAGGAACAACCUCUUCCAGACAAAACGGUUGAGGAAGAUCUGUGUGAUGAUACUAUAAAUGCAAAUCAAAUUAAUGAUGAAGCUGAAUAUUUAAGUAACUCACCUUCAGUCAGAAUUGAUCAGGAAGAUUUUCAUGAGACAUCUGUGAGUAAAAGAGCCGAAGACUCACCUGAAUUUUCAGUUGAGCCGGAUAGGCCAGCACAAGACAGUCCACUGGACACUAGGAUUGACGAACAAACCUGUUGUGCUGAGAUCCCUCUAAAUGAAUCAAGUGAAUGUUCUGUGCGCAGAUCUGAAAGAAUUCGUAGACGCCCAGGAUUGUUUCAUUACCCAACAUUAGGGAAACCUAUAAUUUCAUUUGCACAGACUUUGCUAGAAGGUUUUCAUCAAGCCGUAAUCGACACCUUGAUGGAUACACAUGAUGUUGCCCUAAAGAAUCCGAUGAUCUCACACUGUGAUGUUGUUUAAGGAACAUGAAGGGACUCAUGUUAUUUCAGAGGGGGAGGAUGUAACCCCCAUAAGAGUUCAGUUCUCAUAGCAAUGUAAUUAUUAUAAUUAAUAAUGUAGAUAUAUUAUUAUAUAAAAUUAUUGUGGUUUCGUAUUAUAACAUAACUUUCUUGAAAUUGGAAAUCUGCCUAACAAUAGCUGAGCAGUCCUGUAUAGAUAAUGGUGAUUGGCUAAAUAUUUCAAGCUCCGCCCCCAGCCCAAAAUAGACUGUGUCUGCAAGCGUGCAGCGGGAGAUUGUAAUGGAGAUUGUCAGCUAGUAUUAGAGAACUAUUAAACUGAAUAAACUUAGUCAAAUUGUUGUUGCUAGUGUGCAAAAUUAGGAAAAAUAGGAGCUUAUGCAUCAGGAAGCGGUGCCAAAGUAUUGUUAAUUGUAUUUUUGUUGGUUUGGGAUUGGAAAACAUUUAUUGAAUCUCGGCCAGGUUUUUGGUUCAUUAGAAUUCCUGUACUGGAUAGAAGAUGGCGAGCCACCCAGCUUGAAUUGGUGACCUUCGAUUGGUUUGUGCAGAACGUCCUUACACCCAGUAUUCGGUAGGACUGUACAAUUACGACCUAUGGAAUUAUUUUUUCUUGGAACUUAAUUUACUUGGAAUUUGAAGGAACUUGUGAAUUGGAACUGAUCUGAGCUCAGCAACGUGAACUGAAUGGACAGAACUGGUGAUCCUUAAUUCACCUAGUAAUACACCUAUACUGAUAAAACACACACACCUGUUAUUGUUAUUGAUUUCUAUGUUUUGUUGUUCAAAUAAUACAAGUGUUAUUUUGUA